rnacentral:lncRNA from 1 species
GACACCGAGACACAGAAAAAGAGAGAUUCAGGGAGAAGAGAGACAGAGACUGAGACACAGAGUGAAACAGACGCACACACACAGGGACGCAAAUAGACAAAAGCAGAAACAGAUGAACCCAGGACCUGCACAGAUGUGGAUCUGCACUUGGGGCAGCCGGGCCCUCUACUCCAUGUGCCCACUAGGUGGCGCCCAAGAGCCACGCUCUGCAACGCAGCCGACCCGGUUGGGCCCCUCCUGCCGCGGAAGCCCCCAUCUCUCUGCCCGCCCAGCGUUUCCCCCACGGGCCCAACACCACCUUUGUGGGAGGCCCUGGAGGCGCAGGUGGAGGCUGGAAUGGGGGCUUCCUCAAGGGUCGAGGGUCUCCAGAGCCUCCCAACCCGGCCCCCGGUAGUCUGGGUUGGAGGAGGCAGAGCCAUGACCAAGGGGACCUGGGUACUGGCUGAAGGAAUAGGCUGGGGUAGAGGGCACUUUUGGAAGGCACUUCUCCUGCCUCCCGGGAGCCUAGAUCUCACUCCAGGGUCUGGGCUCCCAGGUGGACCAUGAAACCCUGGCCUGACCAGCUGAUGCACACUGCUUCAGACACUCCUGCUGGAGCCCCAGUCCCUGACAAGGACCUAGGACAUUUUUGCUCCUGCCCAGCCUAUCGGGAGGGAGCCUUGAGCCUUUCAGCUCUGCUGUGUGACUUUGAGGUUGUUGCUCCCCUCUUGGGGCCCUGGGUGCCCUGUCUUCAGUGGAAAGCACUGUGCCACCUUGGAAAGCUCCCAUGGGCAGCCAGAGGGCAUCGCAAGAAGAGAAGCACAGAAGGGGCAGGAGAGACACUCAGAGGCACUUCCGCUCUUGCCCAGGACAUUUUCCCAGCCACACCUUUGCCCAAGCCGUGCCCCCUGCCUGGAGCACUUUUCAACCUCUUCUCUGCAGCUCCAAUACACCUGGGAUUGCAGUCUCCUCCAGGAAGUCUUCUCAGAUUCCCUCCUUCCCAGCCAGAGAGCACCUAGCCUUCUUUGGGGCCCCCACAGGCCCUUUGUGCAGUGAACAGCCCUGGCUGGGGGUGCAGCCAGUCGUGUCCGAACUCUCCAAUGACUAAGCGGGGAGAUGCGGACAUCCUAGCUCCUUCUCAGGCCUCCAACUGUGCCCCAUUUCCACCCCCAAAUACCUCCCCAGGAGGCACCUGUGCCCACCCCCUGGGCUGUUUCCCCCUUCCCCUUAAAUCCGGAUGCCUCGUCUUGCAUAGGGUCUUGGGGCAGCGGGGAAGGGGUUCUGAAGAACUCUGGCCAAGAGGACGAGGAUCUGGGGGUGGGGAACUGGGCCUAGCUGUGGGAGGUCAUCGCGGGGCAUUGCAGGGAGUGCGUUGUGGGAAUUCCGGGUGGAGACCCUCAGGGCAGUGUGCCGGGCCUCCGUUGCACCUCUGACCUGCAGCCACGUCAUCGUUGCGCAGCCCCUGGGGAGGGUCUUUGGGGAGGGGGUGCCGAGGCUACGCAUGUCCUCGAGGGCCGUGUACACUCUCCAGGCACCAUGGGCGGAGGCGCCAGAGGCUGGGAAGAAAUAAUGUUUUAGUUAAGAGUCCUGUUGGCUGCAGGACUCAGAGCAUGGACAGGUGGAUAGUAAAUCACCACCACGGGGACAGCCGUGCCCAGACUGUGCGUUUGCUUAGCUCGGGGACAGCACUUGGCCCGGGGUCUCCUGCUCGCCUCCCUUCAGAGCAUCUGCCAAACUUCGGGCAUCUACCCUGCAAUUCCCGCUUGGCUGAGAGGAGGGGGAGAAGGAGGGGAAGAGAGAGGAGCCCCACUUCACUCCGGCAGGCAGACCUGCUGGAGCUGCUUUGCAGAAUGACUUGGGUCUUGCUGGCCCCUGGGUGUGCCUGGAGGGGGGUCUUCCUAUCCCCCUCCACCUCUCCCCUUGGUGCCUAACCCAGGACUUUGUCCCCAGAGACCCACUGUGUGCCCCCUGGAGCUCCUCCUAGAGCAGAGUCUGCUGCUGUCUGUUCUGCAGAGGGUAGCCUGAGGCCCAAGGAGGUUGUCAGGGACACACAGCAGGGGGAGGCAGCCCAGAUCCCUGCUCAUGCGUGGUUUGGGCCUCUGCUAACAGCUGGGCCACAUGCGUGUAUCUAGAGCCUGGGUCCCCUCUGUCCUCAUUUCCCUGUGCAUAUUCAGGGACAUGCCUCGUCAGGGUUUGGCAAGAAAAUGGGGCAUUUAAUAAUCUCCCCAGUUUCAUUCCUUGGUCCUUACUCCAUGCCAGGACUUGUGCACAUCUUUUUGGAGCCCUGUCUCACUUGAUUGACAGCCGGCCAGGCGCGGUGGCUCACGCCUGUAAUCCCAGCACUUUGGGAGGACGAGGCAGGCGGAUCAUGAGGUCAGGAGAUGGAGACCAUCCUGGCUAACACGGUGAAACCCCGUCUCUACUAAAAGUACAAAAAAAAUAGCCGGGCCUGGUGGCGGGCGCCUGUAGUCCCAGCUACUUGGUAGGCUGAGGCAGGAGAAUGGCGGGAACCCGGGAGGCAGAGGUUGCAGUGAGCUGAGAUCACGCCACUGCACUCCAGCCUGGGCGACAGAGCGAGACUCCGUCUCAAAAAAAAAAAAAAAAAAGAUUGACAGCCUCACUGCUCAGGGGCCAGGAUAACAGCCCAUUUUACAGAUGGCUUUUGGCUUGCCCAAGGUCACCACCCUCUGAACUGAGGCGUCCCCAACCCAUGCCGGGAGCUGGUGGAGGAAGUGGGGAAGGGUUUCCCGCUUCUCCACUGGGGGUGGAGGUGGGAGAAAGCAUUUUCAGGGUGUUUUGACAUUUAACAAACAGUAUGCAAAUCACAUGCAAAUCGCAUGCAAAUCACCACCCAUUUCUUAAGCCUCGACAGCGCUGGCAUGUUCUGAAAUAAUAAUGUUGGACCUGUCCCUUGAUGAUGACCUGGGUCGGGAGGUGCACGGCCUUUUCCUUCCUCCGUCUUCCCUUCCCUUCCCUUCCCUUCCCAUCUGUUCUCCCUUCCUUCGCCCCCUUCCUUUCCUCUCCCUCCCUAUCUUCCAUUUUUCUCUUCUUCCUUCACAUCAUUUGUCCAAGACCUCCCUGGCCUGAGAUAAACAUAAGUUGCAAAAGUGGCUUCCUGCAGCCCAUUUUCCAGGUUGGGAAACUGAGGCAUGGGCCUAAGGUCCCACAGCCACACCGAGGAAAGCAGCCCCCACUGAAUGUCACCAUGCACCAAAGUGCAUGGUCCUCGUGACACAAAGAGGGGAGAUGACAGUGGCUGGAGUUGUCAGAGCUGCUUUGAGGAAGCUCCAGGCCUGAUAGGCUUGACAGGGCCAAGGGGAACUAUUGUGGAAUGUCUUGGCCUUGAAUGACAGGCUGCUGAUUUUGGAUCUGGAGAAAGCUCACACUGACUCUUCCUGCUCCCCCAGUCUGUUUUUCUCCUGCUACUCCAUCCAUGUAUCCCUGAGUUUGGGCCACAGUCCCUCCACUUGGUUUGCAUGUCCCACCUUCUUUGUUUGGCAAGCUCCUAUUCAUCCUUCAAAGCCCUAGCUUCAAUACCUGCUACUUCAUGCAGCCAUUGCUUAUCCUUCAAGGAGAGCCUACUUCCCUCAAGGACCCUGCUGCUUCCAGUCUCACCUUCUGACUCACUCGGGAUCCACUGAACUGGGAGGUCUGUGUCUCCUCCCAGCAGAGUCAUCACUACCUUUGGGGCCGCAGGAUCACCCAGCUUGGAACUAGAUACAGAAAUGCUGUUUUGAGAGUGUACUGAAUAAAAGAUUACAUGUUUGAAAACAA